GUGCUUAUUUUAACACCACAUAUACUAAAAUUUAAAUGAUAUAGAGAAGAUUAGCAUGGCCCCUACCUAUGGAUGAUACUCAGAUUCAUGAAGAGUUUCACAUUUUG